UACGUAGGGGGCUAGCGUUGUCCGGAAUCAUUGGGCGUAAAGAGCGUGUAGGCGGCUCGGUAAGUCCGCUGUGAAAGUCCAGGGCUCAACCCUGGAAUGCCGGUGGAAACUGUCGGGCUAGAGUCCGGAAGAGGCGAGUGGAAUUCCUGGUGUAGCGGUGAAAUGCGCAGAUAUCAGGAGGAACACCAAUGGCGAAGGCGACUUACUGGACACAUAUUGACGCUGAGGUGCGAAAGCGUGGGGAGCAAACAGG
rnacentral:rRNA from 1 species